ACUCAAAGGAAUUGACGGGGGCCCGCACAAGCGGCGGAGCAUGUUGCUUAAUUCGAGGCAACGCGAAGAACCUUACCUGGGUUUGACAUGCCAGAAAAUCCUUCAGAGAUGGAGGGUACCUUCGGGUGUCUGGUGCAGGUGGUGCAUGGCUGUCGUCAGCUCGUGUCGUGAGAUGUUGGGUUAAGUCCCGCAACGAGCGCAACCCUUGUCCCAUGUUGCCAGCGGGUAAUGCCGGGGACUCAUGGGAGACUGCCGGGGUGAACUCGGAGGAAGGUGGGGAUGAGGUCAAGUCAUCAUGCCCCUUAUGUCCAGGGCUGCAAACAUGCUACAAUGGCCGGUACAGUGGGUUGCGAGACCGUGAGGUGGAGCGAAUCCCUAAAAGCCGGUCUCAGUUCGGAUCGGGGUCUGCAACUCGACCCCGUGAAGGUGGAGUCGCUAGUAAUCGCGGAUCAGCAACGUCGCGGUGAAUACGUUCCCGGGCCUUGUACACACCGCCCGU
rnacentral:rRNA from 1 species